CAGCAGCCGCGGUAAUACAGAGGGUGCAAGCGUUAAUCGGAAUUACUGGGSGUAAAGCGCACGUAGGCGGCGUYAUAAGUUGGAUGUGAAAUCCCCGGGCUUAACUUGGGAAUUGCAUUCAAGACUGUSYGCUGGAGUAUGGGAGAGAGAAGUGGAAUUCCAGGWGUAGCGGUGAAAUGCGUAGAUAUCUGGAGGAACAUCAGUGGCGAAGGCGGCUUCUUGGCCCAAUACUGACGCUGAGGUGCUAAAGCGUGGGGAUCAAACAGGAUUAGAUACCCUGGUAGUCCACGCUGUAAACGAUGAGAACUAGACGUUGGAAGGAUCUGCCUUUCAGUGUCGUARCUAACGCGMUAAGUUCUCCGCCUGGGGAGUACGGCCGCAAGGUU
rnacentral:rRNA from 1 species